AGUCUACGGGAGGCAGCAGUGGGGGAUAUUGCACAAUGGAGGAAACUCUGAUGCAGCGACGCCGCGUGAGUGAAGAAGUGCUCCGGCAUGUAAAGCUCUUUCAGCAGGGAAGAUGAUGACGGUACCUGAAUAAGAAGCCCCGGCUAACUCCGUGCCAGCAGCCGCGGUAAUGACU
rnacentral:rRNA from 1 species